rnacentral:rRNA from 1 species
GACGAACGCUGGCGGCGUGCCUAAUACAUGCAAGUCGAACGCAGUGGGGACGGGUGAGUAACACGUUUGUAACCUCCCCAUCAGAGGGGAUAACACUUGGAAACAGGUGCUAAACCGAUACUGAUGGAUGGACCCUCGGUGCAUUAGCUAGUUGGCGAGGUAACGGCUCACAAAGGUCACGAUGCAUAGCGGACCUGAGAGGGUGAUCGGCCACACGGGGACUGAGACACGGCCCAGACUCCUACGGGAGGCAGCAGUAGGGAAUCUUCGGCAAUGGACGAAAGGCUGACCGAGCAACGCCGCGGGAGUGAAGAAGGUUUUCGGAUCGUAAAACUCUGUUGGUAGAGAAGCGGUAUCUAACCAGAAAGCCACGGCUAACUACGUGCCAGCAGCCGCGGUAAUUC